ACUCAAAGGAAUAGACGGGGGCCCGCACAAGCGGUGGAGCAUGUGGCUUAAUUCGAGGCAACGCGAAGAACCUUACCUGGAUUUGACAUAGAUUGGACCGGUGUAGAAAUACACUUUUCCGCAAGGACUGAUUUACAGGUGCUGCAUGGCUGUCGUCAGCUCGUGCCGUGAGGUGUUCGGUUAAGUCCGGCAACGAGCGCAACCCAUGUUAUCAGUUGCCAGCAGGUAGAGCUGGGCACUCUGAUGAGACUGCCCGUGUUAAGCGGGAGGAAGGCGUGGAUGACGUCAAGUCCGUAUGGCCUUUAUAUCCAGGGCUGCACACGUGCUACAAUGGCUGUUACAGAGGGAAGCAAUGCCGCGAGGCGGAGCGGAUCCGUAAAAGCAGCCUUAGUUCAGAUUGCAGUCUGCAACUCGACUGCAUGAAGCCGGAAUCGCUAGUAAAGGCGUAUCAGCCACGACGCCUUGAAUACGUUCCCGGGCCUUGUACACACCGCCCGU
rnacentral:rRNA from 1 species